CGGUAAUUCCAGCUCCAAUGGUGUAUGCUAACAUUGUUGCAGUUAAAAAGCUCGUAGUCGAAUUUUUAAGGGAACCAAUUUCGUGUGGUCUUAAUGAACUACAAGGGAAUAUGGUUUAUCUUAUUUUAUGCUUGUACACCGUUGGAAUUCGUUUUCUGACAGUGAGUUAAGUUUGUGUUUACUUUGAGAAAAUUAGAGUGUUCUAAGCAGUCUUACGGCUUUAUCCUAAAGCAUGGAAUGAUAAGUAAUGACAUCGGUUAAUUUCUGUUGGUUUGAGAGGUUGAUGUAAUGAUUUAUAGAGUUAGUCGGAAAUAUUAGUAUUUUGUCGUUAGAAGUGAAAUUCCGGGAUCGACAAAAGACUAACAACUGCGAAAGCAUUUGCCUAGGAUUUGCUCCUUGAUCAAGAACGUAAGUUGGGGGAUCGAAGACGAUCAGAUACCGUCGUAGUCUCAACUUUAAACUAUAUCAACUAGGGGUUGGCAAAUGUUUAUAUGACUUUGUUAGAACCUUGGGAGAAAUCUAAGCGUUUGGGUUCCGAAAGGAGUAUAAUCACAAGGCUGAAACUUAAAGGAAUUGACAAAAAAGCACCACAAAAUGUGAAUCCUGUGACUUAAUUUGACUCAACACUGGAAAACUUACCGAAUCCAGACAUAAGUAAGAUUAACAGACUGAUAGCUCUUUCUUGAUUCUAUAAGUAGUGGUGCAUGGCCGUUCUUAGUUGGUAGAGUAAUUUGUCUGAUUAAUUCCGUUAACGAACGAGACUAUUACCUGCUAAAUAGUAUAAUCUUUUAAUUAGGAUAGUUGCUUCUUAGAGGGACUGGCUUUGCAUAAAUUGCUGGAAGUUGGUAACAAUAACAAAUCUGUGAUGCCCUUAGAUGUCCUGGGCAGCGCACGGGCUACAAUAGGAGAGUAACUGAGCUUGUUCUACUUAGCUCGAAAUGGGCUGUGAAAUCUUAAAACUAUUCUUUAAUUGGGAUCGCGCUUUGAAAUUUUUACGUGUAAACCAGGAAUACCUAGUAAGUGUAUGUCAUCAACGUGCACUGAAUACGUCCCUGCCCGUUGUACACACCGCCC
rnacentral:rRNA from 1 species